GAUCUGGUCUUUUCUGUCUCUUUUCUCAACGUGUCCGACGAAUGAUCAUCGCAAAGUCGGAGAACGCUAUGAAAGUUAAUGCCCAAAACGAACGGUAAGGCAGGAUGGUCUGGGGAUGUUUUUUUUAUUUUAGAGUUGGGUAUCUGGCACUAAUUGAAGGAUAUGUAAAGGCUGUCACUAAUUAACUAAUUCAUACUCUUCAAUAUUCAUAGAUUUAAAUGUAAUAGAAAACAAUUUUACUUUCAGACUACAAACCUAGAAUGAAUUUUUCCGUACAAUAAUUAAAGUGAAUACCAGAGUGAAUUUUUAGUUUAUGUAAGGAUAAACAAACACGUUUAAAUUCAAAUUUCUAAUGUGUUUCGUUAGACAUUUAUACUGUUGAGAAAGUUUCACGAGCUUUUGUCGUAAAGAAUCAAACCAAAACUUAAAAAA